AGUGAACGCUGGCGGUAGGCCUAACACAUGCAAGUCGAACGGCAGCACAGUAAGAGCUUGCUCUUACGGGUGGCGAGUGGCGGACGGGUGAGGAAUACAUCGGAAUCUACUUUUUCGUGGGUGAUAACGUAGGGAAACUUACGCUAAUACCGCAUACGACCUACGGGUGAAAGCAGGGGAUCUUCGGACCUUGCGCGAUUGAAUGAGCCGAUGUCGGAUUAGCUAGUUGGCGGGGUAAAGGCCCACCAAGGCGACGAUCCGUAGCUGGUCUGAGAGGAUGAGCAGCCACACUGGAACUGAGACACGGACCAGAAGCCUACGGGAGGCAGCAGUGGGGAAGAUUGGACAAUGGGCGCAAGCCUGAUCCAGCCAUACCGCGUGGGUGAAGAAGGCCUUCGGGUUGUAAAGCCCUUUUGUUGGGAAAGAAAAGCAGCAGGUUAAUACCCCGCUGUUAUGACGGUACCCAAAGAAUAAGCACCGGCUAACUUCGUG
rnacentral:rRNA from 1 species